UACGAAGGGGGCUAGCGUUGCUCGGAAUCACUGGGCGUAAAGGGUGCGUAGGCGGGUCUUAAGUCAGGGGUGAAAUCCUGGAGCUCAACUCCAGAACUGCCUUUGAUACUGAGGAUCUUGAGUUCGGGAGAGGUGAGUGGAACUGCGAGUGUAGAGGUGAAAUUCGUAGAUAUUCGCAAGAACACCAGUGGCGAAGGCGGCUCACUGGCCCGGUACUGACGCUGAGGAGCGAAAGCAUGGGGAGCGAACAGG
rnacentral:rRNA from 1 species